UUGCUCGAGUGGCGAACGGGUGAGUAACACGUGAGUAACCUGCCCUUGACUUUGGGAUAACUUCAGGAAACUGGGGCUAAUACCGGAUAGGAGCUCCUGCUGCAUGGUGGGGGUUGGAAAGUUUCGGCGGUUGGGGAUGGACUCGCGGCUUAUCAGCUUGUUGGUGGGGUAGUGGCUUACCAAGGCUUUGACGGGUAGCCGGCCUGAGAGGGUGACCGGCCACAUUGGGACUGAGAUACGGCCCAG
rnacentral:rRNA from 2 species